GAGUAAGCCCUGUCCAGACCCGGUUAUAGCUGUUCUCCCUUUCUCUGUUUACCUACUCCCGGGAAAAGCACCUGAAGCCCAUGCUCUAGUUUCUAGAUGAUUCUUCCCGGCGUGCCUUUAACUGUUAGAUUUAGCAUUUUGCAAAGUGUGGUCAGCCCCUGACUGCCCCCCUCGAGGAUUCCCUGAGUUGCUUAUGAGGCUGGCAGCUCCAGAAGCUCCCUCCAGGUGAAUUGCAGUCUCGGUGGGAGGGGCCCAGAAGCAAUUGUGAUGCACAGUGAGGUCAGCAACCAAGGGACCCCAUUGUGAGAUUUGUGAUUGAUUCUAGGGGCUGAUCUUUGUUGGUGAACUGUCUGUGCAGGCUUAAAGGGGAUCCCCCAUUUGUACAUAUUACUCUUAUCAUGACUUUGUAUAUUGCAUGCAUUUCUCUUCUAGGGGCACAGAUGAGAAGACUGAAGAGCAAACUUAAGUGAAAUUUCCUCAUUUUUGUUCUUUUAUAGGAGGCUGAGAAGACUUUGGUUUCUUGACCUCUAGCUGAGUAUUUUAUCCACUAGGCCCCUGCUUCCAAAUCAAAAUUCUGAACUGAGAGUUAGGAAACACUGCCUUUUGUGGCAAAAUGAUGGAGGAAAGGUCAGGGGAGGAUGGGUUGUUAAUCAGCCCGGGGCUCUGAGGUUUACAGAUCUCUUCCAGAAGCAUGUGCAUGGUGGGGUCCUCCCCAGAUUUUGAGCCAGGAGGGACCUGGGGCAGGGUUAACUAUUCGGCUUGCAAAUGGGACAACUGACCUCACCAGGCAGGGCCGCAGUGACUUAUUGGUGAGACUCCUACCCCAUACCAGGUUCCAGUCCGAUGCUCACUUCACUGUGCCUCCCUCGGUUAUAUUGUGUAUGACCUUUUAAUUCAUAAGUUGAUGAUCAAGUGAAGCUAGGAAACUGGUACUGUUGUGAAGCCCCUCUGCUGGCAAGUGUGCUCUCUUUCCUCCGUCGUGUUUGGGGGAACGGUUGGAGUCGUGCAUUCAGGGAACAUAAGACACCCCUUGCCACCACCACUGCACUCUAGCCACCAGCCAAAUGGGACCGCUUGAAGUUCCCUGAACUUCUUCCCAUCUCUGGCCUCUGGGCCCUUUUACCUUGUUGCUUCCUUGGUCUCUAAAGCCCUGCCCUAAACUCUUCGUUUACCUCUCUCCCACUCGGCCUCGAAGCUCACCUCAGGCUUUACCUCUUUUUUUUUUUUUUUUUUUUUUUUUUGAUACCUUCCUUGCCCUUCCAAGUUGGGGUUAAAUGCCCCUCCGCAAAGUUUCCACUUCAUUCUCCUUGCCGUGUUUGUGUCUUUGCCCCAGUGGGCCGUAAACCAUCAAGUUUCAUCCCAAGAGGGUCUCUCCCCUGGCGUCGUGUGAGAAUCUCCAUCACCGCAGGUGUAGGCUGAAAAGACAGCGUCAACAUUACAACCCACUUUUAUAUUUUUGAAUGACAGACUUAUUUUGGUCCUAAAAUUAUGUUGUGGGAAGAAAAGCUCAAAACAAAACUUUGGAGGAGCAGUUUUAGACUGUCAGGCAUUAAAUGUGCUUCCCCAACGAAGUGUAGCGUAAGAAGAGCUAUCAGUGUUCUUUCUCCUUUGUAGAUAUGAUUGUCCUGUUUCAGGCUUCAGUGGCAAGCACACCCAGGAUCCUGGCUCAAGCCUUGACUUUCCCAAUAACUGACCUUGAAUAAGUCAGCCCUGUAUUUUGCUUGGUCUGUGAAGAAAGGAGUCAGUUGUAUUCGAUGAUCUUUAAGGUCUCCCCAAGCUCUCUGGCACUUGCUGAUCUGUGAUUUAAUUCAAUAGGCAGUGAUAGCGAUAACCUUCUUCCCAUGAUAGUCUCAUUUGGAUCAUCUGGUGUCUGACCGAAUGAGCUCUAUGUGCCCCUUGAAAUCAGAACUGCUGUGUUGAAAAAAUUCCAAGCCAGAGGACUGACCGGGUGGUGACGGCCUGGCCCGCUUGUAAGAUGCGAAUGUGUGAGCAGACAGCAGGGAUCACCUCGCCUUUGGUUCCUUCUUCCUUAGGAGGUCAGGAAGUUUCAAAAAAAACCCAAACAAACCCAUUUGGAAUGCCUAAGGGGUAUUUUACAGUCAAAUGCCCCCUUAUUUGGGCACUUUUCUUUCUGAAAAAUAAUAAGUGGAGCAGGAGGAUGUUACACAGAGAGAUGAGUUCACAGGCUCACUGGACUAAAGCGGGACCUGGAAGGCCCCUGAGCCCACAUGUCCCAACUCUGGUGAGGACAGGAUUAGGCACCAUCCUGGAUCCGUGAGCUGCUCUAUUCAUCUUAAAGAUCUUUUCAUAGAGUCCAAAGCCUUCCUCAGGCAGGUCUUUGUGAAAACCCCAGAUUCCGAGGAAUAUAGCCCAGUGUGCUUGCUUUCCUGCCUGGCUGCUGGGCAGCAGCUAACCAUCUCAGUGCAUAAUCCUCCUGUAUUUGUCAAAACUCUCAUCUCCAAACCUCGGCUUUGAACAUUUAUUUAUUUAUUAUUUUAUUUUGUUAUUUUAUGGCCGCACCCCAGGCACGUGGAAGUUCCCAGGCUAGGGGUUAAAUCAGAGCUGCAGGUGCCGGCCUACGCUACAGCCACAGCAACGCCAGACCCAAGCUGCUGCAGUGGGAUUCUUCACCCACUGCGCCAUAGCAGGGACACAUGAAUUAUUUUUUAGGUCCAGCAAAAUGGUAAUUUGGAACUAUUUCACCAAAAGCUUUUAAAUGAUAUAUUUAAAUAAAAUAACAAUGGGAAAGACAAUAAAUCCAGAAGCUUCAAAUUAUCCUAAGGACAUUUGGAGAACAGUCACCCGGUAUCUACCAUUCAUGCAGGAGGAACUGUUGUUUCCUGGGAUAAUGAUUCUAAAUAAGAGAGUUGAAGAAGAGUUUAAUAUCUUGUAGCAAUGAGGUCCGUUGUGGCUCAGCAGGUUAAGAACCUGACUUGUAUCCAUGAGGAUUCAGGUUCAAUCCCUGGUCUCACUCAGUGGCUUAAGGAUCCGGUGUUGCCAUGAACUGCAGUCUAAGUUGCAGUCGUGGCUUGGAUCCUGCGUUGCUCUGCCGGUCUACACCACAGCUGCUGCAACGCCAGAUGGGAGCCAAGUCUGCAACCGACACUGCAGCUGGCGGCAAUGCUGGAUCCUUUAACCCACUGAGCGAAGCCAGGGGUUGAACCCGCAUCUUCAUGGAUGCUAGUCGGGUUCUUAAGCUGCUGAGGCACAACAGGACCUCUCGGCUUUGGACAUUUAAAGAAACUCCAGUUCCUUUAACUUUUUCCCAUCUUUGCUUUCUUCCAUUAUUUUGUUUUGGUUUUUCCAACCUCUUGGUCGGAUAUAAUACUUUGUGUUUCUACCAUUCCUAAUACACGGCCCCAAUCUCUCACAUGUGGCAUAUAUUAGAUAGCGUGUCUUACAUUUACUCUCCUAUCCCUAAUAGAGACCCUGGUUGCAAGUUUCUCUCUUGUUCUUUACUUCUCGAAAUCCCAAGCUUUCUUGACACCGGUCCCCCAUUUGGUGUUUAAGUGUGAGUAUCUUAAAUUGGAAGCUUAUGGGAAAGUUGGGAGAAAUGUUAGAUCAUUAAGAAAAUCAUGUGUCAAACCACGUGGGAGCCUCUUAAAUACAACUUUGGUGGUCAUGACCCUGGCCAGGGGGGGAAGCCUGUGAUGUCACCCCUUCCCCGAGUCCCAGUUUCACGGAUAGUAUCUCUGAAUGGAAUUGUCUGAGGGAGAUUGUUCCUUGUGAAAAGUUCACAUGAUGGAGUUUGAAGAGCUUGUUUCGCUCGGAGCCCAGCAGGACAGAGUGGUCUGGAAUGCAGCAUUCAGUGUGUUCUGUUUGGCUGAAAGCUGUCACAGGGAACAAGUACUUAGCAAACAGCAUGAACAAGGAUUUGAACUAGAAAACGAGAAGGGCCUUGACAACAUUGUAAUAGUGGCUUGUCUCCUCAAAAACUGCUCAGUGGUACACAAGCAGGUGAUAAAGACGACUAGGAAAAUACGUAAAUGGAUUGGGGUCUCAUUCAAAACAGCCCAGCGUAAAGAGGGUCCUGCUAUGGGUCAAGUUUGAACAGGGGUUGCGGGGUCACUGUGGCCAUCUCCGCUUUACUGUCGGGAGGUUGGCCUCUUUUAAGGCAAGAGUCGCAGACCGAGUCUGUGCCUGAGGAUGUGAACACAACCUAUUGAAAAUAGAUCGAUCCGUCAGCUGCGUGGUCUCAGUUCACAGUGUCCAAUGUCCGGGCUGAAUGUUUUUCUCUUUAUAUUUCACUGAACGAACCGAAGAGACCUGUUGAUACCGCUUUUAGCUUUUCGUGCUUUAAGUGGAAUUAUGUGCAAUUUAACAGGGCUCUUCUUUCAGUAUUUACAUUCCCUUUGCUUGAAAAUCGGUUCUUCUCAUCUCUCUCUGUUUUUGUUUGUUUGUUUGUUUGUUUGUUUGUUUUUUGGUCUUUUUAGGGCUGCAUCCGAGGCAUAUGGAGGUGCUCAGGCUAGGAUUUGCAUUGCAUCGGAGCUGUAGCCACUGGGCCUACACCACAGCCACAGUAACGCUGGAUCCUUAACCCGCUGAGCGAGGCCAGGGAUCGAACCUGCAUCCUCAUGGUUCCUAGUCGGAUUUGUUUCUACUGAGCCAUGACGGGAACUCCCUCAUUUCUCUUUUUUAUUGAGGUAUAAUUGACAAAUACAGUUGUAAGAUAUUUAAAGUGCACAACAUGAUGAUUUGAUGUACAUGUACAUUGCGAAAUGGUCCCCCAUCUACUUAAUCAGAUCUUCCUGUUCCUUCAAGUCUCUUUUUAAUACUCCAAUUUAAGUGCUACCUGUGCCUUAUACAUGGAGCCCAAAUCUUCGUGGAUGAUAAAAUUUAACUGCCGCAGGUGUGUGUAAUAGUCGGCGGCUCUAUCAUGAUACUGUCCCCAGGGGCCAUGCCACAGGAGGGCUCCUGCUUUAAGUGCAACUUGCAGAGAAGAAGGUGUUGAUUACAAUGAAGGCUACGUUUCUACCCAGUUCUGCUCUGAAGCAGCUAGUGCUCUAGCAAGGAUCCCAGUAGUUGUUAUAUAAAGGGCCCAGGGAGCACAGCAUCCACCGUGAAUACAUGUUAAUAGACUCAGUGGAGAGCUUCAGUGUUGUGUAUGGACAUACCCUGGUUCAUUGACUUCAGUUUAAAAAGAGAUCAAAUCCAAUUAGACAGCCUCUUCCAAAUUCAAUUCAAUUCAACAAACAUUGUUAGGAUGCAAGGCACUGUGCUACCUCAUGCAAAGCAUUUGUAUUUUAUUUUACCUUUUUGGUUUGUUGUGGCAUCGUGUCAGUACAAGUUGGUAAAUAUUGAGGUUUCUUUGUUCAGGAACUUCGAGAAUGCUUUUUCUUAGUUACUUGUAACUCUUGAAAAAUUUUAUGAUUCUCUUCUCUGCUUGGAAGGCUUUUAUUUGGACCUCCUACUCGUACCAGCUUGGACAGAGUCAGGUAUUUUGGAGAUGAAAAUGUAGCCUUGUAUGAGUGCUUUUGUCCGAUGGUUUGGGGGGUCCUCUUGGCCUCAAGAGGAGAUGGUGGAAGUGCUCAUUAUUAGCCAUUAGGUUUUAAGAAUAGAUUCUUUUGGGGGGCAGGGUCCAAUUUUCGUGCUUUCUAUUGGAAAUAUAAUGCAAGUCACAUAUAUAAUUCUAAAUUUUCUAGUAGCCCAUGAAAAAAGAAAAAA
rnacentral:lncRNA from 1 species